rnacentral:rRNA from 1 species
CGUAGGAGGCGAGCGUUAUCCGGAUUCACUGGGCGUAAAGCGCGUGCAGGUGGCGCGGUAAGUUGGGCGUGAAAUCUCCCGGCUCAACUGGGAGAGGUCGUCCAAUACUACCGUGCUUGAGAGCAGAAGAGGAAGAUGGAAUUCCCGGUGUAGUGGUGAAAUGCGUAGAUAUCGGGAGGAACACCAGUGGCGAAGGCGAUCUUCUGGUCUGUUUCUGACACUCAGACGCGACAGCUAGGGUAGUAAACGGGAUUAGAGACCCCGGUAAUCCUAGCCGUAAACGAUGUGAACUUGGCGUUGGUGGGUUAAACUCCAUCAGUGCCGCAGCAAACGCGAUAAGUUCACCGCCUGGGGACUACGGCCGCAAGGUUA